GACGAACGCUGGCGGCGUGCUUAACACAUGCAAGUCGAACGAGUGGCGAACGGGUGAGUAACACGUGGGUGAUCUGCCUUGCACUUCGGGAUAAGCUUGGGAAACUGGGUGUAAUACCGGAUAGUGCAAGAUGAGCUCGCGGCCUCUCAGCUUGUUGGUGGGGUAAUGGCUACCAAGGGGCGACGGGUAGCCGGCCUGGGAGGGUGUACGGCCACAUUGGGACUGGGAGACGGCCCAGGGGCCUACGGGGGGCAGUAGGGGAGAAUGUUGCACAAUGGGCGGGAGCCUGAUGCAGCGGCGCGGCGUGGGGGAUGAAGGACUUCGGGUUGUAAACUCCUUUCGACAGGGACGCGGUACCUGUAUAAGAAGCACCGGCUAACUACGUGCCAGCAGCCGCGGUAAUUC
rnacentral:rRNA from 1 species